GAUUUCCAACGGCAAGUGCUAUAAGAAUUAUUACAAGACCGUACACAACCACACGUCGAACUAAAAGACGAAACCGUCGAGGACCAUCACCUGGGAGCAAUCCUAAGAGCUGGUGGUGGAUUGAAGCCUCGCCGGAACGCAUAAAAUUCUGGGCGCUCAAGAAAUAUUCAACAUCAUGAAUAUCCAUCGCUUCUGCAAGAUUUACAUGAACGGCAGGUAACAAUAAAUGCCAUUGAAUACGUUCUA